rnacentral:rRNA from 1 species
GACGAACGCUGGCGGCGUGCUUAACACAUGCAAGUCGAACGAUGAAGCCGGAGCUUGCUUCGGUGGAUUAGUGGCGAACGGGUGAGUAACACGUGAGCAAUCUGCCCUUAACUCUGGGAUAACUGCGGGAAACUGUAGCUAAUACCGGAUACGGCACCUUGGGGCAUCCCAGGGUGUGGAAAGAAUUUCGGUCAAGGAUGAGCUCGCGGCCUAUCAGCUAGUUGGUGAGGUAAUGGCUCACCAAGGCGACGACGGGUAGCCGGCCUGAGAGGGUGACCGGCCACACUGGAACUGAGACACGGUCCAGACUCCUACGGGAGGCAGCAGUGGGGAAUAUUGCACAAUGGGCGAAAGCCUGAUGCAGCAACGCCGCGUGAGGGAUGAAGGCCUUCGGGUUGUAAACCUCUUUUAGCAGGGAAGAAGCGAAAGUGACGGUACCUGCAGAAAAAGCACCGGCUAACUACGUGCCAGCAGCCGCAGUAA